UCAGCAAUAGAGAAGGGGUGUGGUGGCCCCUGACUCAGAGGAGGUUAUCCCUGUCCACUCAUCUUUGCUGAGGGACUUGGGCUAAUAGCCAGCAUUCUAGCCGGCCUGCAGACUGUUGCAGAUGGAGAAGGGCAAGAGAGAAACAUCAAGGUUGUCUGGCAGAGGUUUGGAGUACAGGCUUGGUUCCCUGAGCAUCCUCAAGAAAGUCAUGGCUGUUUGCUUAGUCCAAGUCCUCUGUAGGGAAGGAAAACUCACCAAGGUUAUUUGACAAGGAGAGAGCAGAGGAGAUUAUGGUAGGGUUUAUCAGCCAGCCAAAUUGGCCAAGAAGGAUGAUGGUCUCAAGUCCCUAAAGAAGUAUUAGACUCUACCAAGGAUGACUCUCUAAUGGAAAUAAAGAGGGACUCUUGGGAGUUCUUUAUAGUAAUGAAAUUAUUUAAAACUGCAUUUGUGAGAAAAUUAAAGCCAAACUGAAAAUC